CUCCUUAUGAUAUAAUAUAAGGUAUAGCCUGCUCUAUGAAUUGUUUUAAAUGGCCGCGGUAUUUUGACCGUGCGAAGGUAGCAUAAUCAUUAGUCUUUUAAUUGAAGGCUGGUAUGAAUGGCUGGACGAGAAAAUUUCUGUCUCUAUCAUAAAAUUUGAAUUUUAUUUUUAAGUGAAAAAGCUUAAAUAAUUUUGAGGGACGAUAAGACCCUAUGGAUCUUUUGUGUUGGGGCGACUGAAAGAAAUAAAUAUCUCUUUUUAAUAAUAAAUAUAAUUUUAUAGAAUUAUAAUGACCCUUAAUUUUGGUUUAUAAGACUAAGUUACCCUAGGGAUAACAGCGUAAUUUUUUCAGAGAGUUCUUAUCGAUGAAAAAGUUUGCGACCUCGAUGUUGGAUUAAGAUAUCCUUAUGGCGCAGCUGUUAUAAAGGAAAGUCUGUUCGACUUUUAAAUUCUUACA
rnacentral:rRNA from 1 species